UGAGAGUUCAAAUAUAUCCCCAAGCUUGUAGAAUCUCUUAAUACCCUAAAAGAAGCCCUCAUGUCUAGGAUUAUGUCAAAAUUGAAAAAGGAAAAAAAUGAUGAAAUUAGGAGUCGAGUGAAGCAAAGGCACAACUUUCAUCAUAAUAUGUAACAAGUCGAUUGAGUGACCUCAAAUAAAAUUCGAACAUUAACGUUAGAAUAAAAAUUCUUUGUAUAACAAGGAUUAUCACCAUAGUUUAACAAGGAUUAUCACCAUAGUUUAGAGGUGAGACUUUUACACAAGAGGUAGGCGACUACUAUCUGGGCACGCAGUCAUCAUAUGCUAAUCUCCAAUUUAACUUUGAAACUUUCAAAACGACGUGUCGUCUUAUAUGAGUCACGACUCACACUUGAAACGACAACCGAUGAGUCAGUAUCCUUCAGUCAGCAGCACGUAACUUAGAAAGCGAGGGAAAAAUGCCAGAGGCGUUGUUUAGGUGGCUACUGCAGCUGCACAAGGACGUGCCAAAAGCCGCCUGGUUCUACGCCGAAGGGUUGGACUUCACCGUCAAUGUCUGCACUCUUCGAUAGACGGAUCUACAGUCCAGCCCAUUCAAGCUUUACCUUAUGCAAUACCCCAAGUGAACUCUCCCUCUCCAUUCUCUGAGACUCUGUGCUCGGUGCACACCAGGGAUCAUGCAUUGUAGAAUGGAAACUCUUCACUUUUGUCCUUCACAGUGCCAGACAUUAAUCAAACAGUGACCAAGUUGAUGGCAUAAGGAGCUGAAACUUGAUGGCCCUAUCAAAUAUGAAGUCCAUGGCAAGGUGAUGACUAAAUUUCUAAACAAAACCGUUGUGAUCAUUUGUUCGUAUAUCAUUGCUACACUGGGUGCAGAGAUUUUAGUAAGAGUUUCGUGUUACUGGUUGCUGCCAUGCGAUGUAUUUGAUGGGCAUAUGUUAGGCCUUUAUGAACCUGCUUAGGUUUUUCAGAAGCAAACCCCUUGAAAAAGUGCGACCAGCUGAGGAUCAAAAUAUGGUGAUUCGAGCUUUCGUAAGUGAAUCUUGAAAUUUUUACCCCAUUACACAAAUGACUGUAGGAGCUUCUAUUCCUAAUUCUCUGUCAUUCUCUUUUGGUAGCAUAGUUUGGACCCAAAAAAAUUCACCAAUUACAUAGAUCAAACUCAAAGUAACAAUGUCACUUAUACAUGACAUUGUGUUAUUGGUUUGGAACGGCAAUGUGGCAUCUGAAGGGGCGCAUGUAAGUCCUUACACAAUGAGUCUGACCAAUUCAGACGUCUAAUGUAAGAUGCUAUUAAUUGAUUUAUGUCUAAAUAAGAGGAAAUUGUAGCAAUGGUCUAUCAACUUUAACUCAAUUGGAGUAAUGGUCCCUAAACUAAAAAUCUAAGACCAUUGAUCCCUUAACUUCUCAAAACGUGCGGCUAUGGUCAUUUUCUUCAACUCCGUUAGAACUUCCGUCAAAAUGAGUCAUGUGCCAUGAGGCUGAAUCAGGGGCAAUUAUGGAAAACCAAAUGAGAAAAAUUGUAGCAAUGAUUUCUCAACUUAACCCAACUAAAGAAAUGGUCCCUCAACUUUAACUCAAUUAGAGCAAUGGUCCUUCAUCUUUAUAUCAAUUGUAGCAAUGGUCAUUCCAACAUAACUCAUUUUGACGGAGUUAACGAAAAGGACCAUAGCUGCACGUUUUGAAGAAUUAAGGGACCAAUGAUAAUGGAUCUUCUGACUAGGACUACAACUCCGAUCUGAAAUUCUCCGUCUCGAUCGUUCAGUUUGAAGUUGUUACUCUGUAUGUUGUUUCUCUCUGUGCAGCUCUUUUCUUUGUUUCAUCUUAUAUCGACAUGGGUCCGAGCACAAAUAUCAGAAAACAGAGAGUAAAGACCUAUCUGCCGGAUGGAGAUAUUGGGUGGUGACGUCUGUGCUGUCCUUGAAAGAGAAUAUCAAAAUAUGGCUGCUGAGUUUAUGGUGAAAGAUGUCCAGUUGAUUUGGGCAGAGGUUUUUAGCUUUUACCUCUUCACUUUAUUAGAUUGAAUAUAGGUAUAAGUUACAGCUUAAUGUUGAUGCUGCCAUCUAUGUCUAGUAAAAUUUUUGUGUUGAGUUUAUGUUGUGUAACUUGCAUUUCCCUUGAAUGAAAUUGCUACGUGCGUGUCUAUUUCAUUAGCCAUUAUUUUGAUUCUAGUUAUAGUAGAUAACAAAACUUUUGAUUUUCCUAUGUAAAUACUAUUUGGUCUUCUUGUGGUAGGUCAAGCUUGUAAAGUGCCUUGUGCAAAAUAUUGUGGUCGAUAUUUCCUUUAAUCAGUUAGGAGGGCUAUGUACACUAUGCUUUCAUGAGUAGGUAGUCAUUCACACAGAGCUGAAUUGACAAUGAAGUUCAAUUUGUCACAUAUGAAUUGAAUGAUUUACCAGAUUUCAUUCAUAUAAUCGGAUUCUUGUAUGGAAGCUCUAAGUUGUCUAAUGAAACUUGUUUUUCAAGUCUUCUAUUGAAAGUAUAUGCUGACUUAUGCCUUAUAACCAAUAACCUUGAAUGGUAUUCGAUUA